rnacentral:lncRNA from 1 species
UCGCAGGCCGAAAUAAUUGAACAUUUUGUAUGUUUUUCUGUGCUGUCUUAGGAAGAAGGACAGAUGUCAGGAGGAAAGAAACAUCUCCUACAUGAAGUGGGAAGAAAGUGAGGCUCACCCCUGGCUGCAUCCAGGGAAUGCUGCCAACAAAUACUGCAAAGCUUUUGGUUGCAAAGCAUUGUGGUUCAUAUGGCAUGCUGAUUAGCACGGGAGGAGGUAUCGAAAGGUCAGUAUGGUCCCAGUGUCAUAGAAUCCUCCGGUGGACUCAAUUGUGUCACGUGGGACAAGCCUGCUGCUCCUGCUCCUAAGAGGCCAUUCCCAACUCUCCUGGGAACUGAUCCUGCUUCGGACGCCCCCUACCAUUCUUGCUUCCAUAUCCACCAUGUCUGCAGUGUCUGUUCUUCUUGGCUGCAGGCUUGUUCUUUGGAGACGGGCUCUCAGUUGGCAUCCUGAGAUCUGCCGAGAAACUUAGAACUGUGGUGCCUACCAGUCAUCCCUCUUUAUUGGUGUCUCAAUGCCUGCCAGUGGGCUAGAGCUCUGAUAUGGGCAAAUGCCUCCUGGGUGGCUCCUCACUGCCACCAAGAGUUUGGAGCUUCUGUUUUGCUGUCUGAGUGCUUCCUCUCAUGUCCUGCGUGUAAGUCCUCCUCUUUCACUGAAUGCCCACUUUUUUUCUAGGAG